GCCAGCGUGGCGUAUUGGUUUGAGCAUUGGACUGGGACUCUGAAGACCAGGGUUCAAAUCCUGGUUCGGCCA